rnacentral:lncRNA from 1 species
GCGUUCUUAAAAGUAUUAUAUAGUAUUAUGCAUACAUGUAGUAGUCAUGUCAACCCCUAGACAUAACCGGAUGUUUUGAAGUCAUUUGAGUAUAUACGUUUAUAUAUAAAACCAAAUAAAUAUUAUGAAAAGAUAUAUUAAGUUAGUCAUCUAUAAUGAUCUACUGUGGUUCAGUGUGGGACUUCUGUUAUAGUGUAAUUGUCUACUACAUAUUUAUCGCUAUAUUUGUAUAAGGAUUCUCAAAAACACAUAGAUAUAAGAAGAUGUGAUAUGAGUGCCAAUGCGACAACUCUCCAUCCAAGUCACAAGUUGUAAAUAGUUAACCAUUCAUUAUAGGUCAAAAUGUGGACUUCAACGGUACUGCAUCUAGGUCUCGGAUGUCUGGUAGUCUAAGUAAUUACAGCUAGGUCUCGGAUGUCUGGUAGUGUAAGUAAUUACAGCUAUGUCUCGGAUGUCUGGUAGUCUAAGUAAUUACAGCUAGGUCUCGGAUGUAUGGUAUUCUAAGUUAUAACAGCUAGGUCUCGGAUGUCUGGUAGUCUAAGU